UAAGCUAUGCGUGCUAUACAUGCAAGUCGAACGAGUUCUGAUUAUUGAAAGGUGCUUGCAUCUUGAUUUAAUUUUGAACGAGUGGCGGACGGGUGAGUAACACGUGGGUAACCUGCCCUUAAGUGGGGGAUAACAUUUGGAAACAGAUGCUAAUACCGCAUAAAUCCAAGAACCGCAUGGUUCUUGGCUGAAAGAUGGCGUAAGCUAUCGCUUUUGGAUGGACCCGCGGCGUAUUAGCUAGUUGGUGAGGUAACGGCUCACCAAGGCAAUGAUACGUAGCCGAACUGAGAGGUUGAUCGGCCACAUUGGGACUGAGACACGGCCCAAACUCCUACGGGAGGCAGCAGUAGGGAAUCUUCCACAAUGGACGCAAGUCUGAUGGAGCAACGCCGCGUGAGUGAAGAAGGCUUUCGGGUCGUAAAACUCUGUUGUUGGAGAAGAAUGGUCGGCAGAGUAACUGUUGUCGGCGUGACGGUAUCCAACCAGAAAGCCACGGCUAACUACGUGCCAGCAGCCGCGGUAAUACGUAGGUGGCAAGCGUUAUCCGGAUUUAUUGGGCGUAAAGCGAGCGCAGGCGGUUUUUUAAGUCUGAUGUGAAAGCCCUCGGCUUAACCGAGGAAGUGCAUCGGAAACUGGGAAACUUGAGUGCAGAAGAGGACAGUGGAACUCCAUGUGUAGCGGUGAAAUGCGUAGAUAUAUGGAAGAACACCAGUGGCGAAGGCGGCUGUCUGGUCUGUAACUGACGCUGAGGCUCGAAAGCAUGGGUAGCGAACAGGAUUAGAUACCCUGGUAGUCCAUGCCGUAAACGAUGAAUGCUAGUGUUGGAGGGUUUCCGCCCCUUCAGUGCCGCAGCUAACGCAUUAAGCAUUCCGCCUGGGGAGUACGACCGCAAGGUUGAAACUCAAAGGAAUUGACGGGGCCSCACAGCGUGAGCAUGUGUUUAUCGAGCACGCGAGACUACAGUCUGACAUCUUUGAUCACUGAGGAUCAGGUCCCCUCGGGGCAAAUGAMCAUGUGGGUGCMAUUGG
rnacentral:rRNA from 1 species